UUUUUGUUUCUCCAAGUGUAGAUUAGAUUUUGAGCUGAAAUUUUUUGGAGUUGUAGAUACAACCUAUAUUCAUGUUGCUAAUUAUUUUCAGAUUUUUUCGCAUAGCCAAAGUAUGAUUUCUCUAAGUUGAUCCUACGAUCCUACCUAAUGGGGAGAUCCUAUACAAGUCUCUCCCUAAAUAUCAGAUGUUUUCCUUAUAUCAAUUUAUUGACCAGCUGUGAUACUGUAGCAUGCUAGAGUGCUGCAAGAUAGGCCGCUGAUGAGGUUUGAAGAGGUACUCGAGACCUUGUGAAGGGAUAUUUACAUCAAGGAGGUGAAGUAAGUAAACAAGAUGUAUAUCCUGUCAUGCUUUCCUCGAUCAGACUCAUGGGGUAAAGAUGCUCUCACAGAGGGAAGAAAUGUGGUGGAAGUCAUCACUUCGAGCCUGGUUAUCCAUAUCAUGGCGACAUCUUCCUGUAUGCAAGGAGAACCUAUCUGCGCAUUUUCCAUUUCCUACAAGUUCGUUGGUUGAAGCUCUAUUUUGCAGUUUUAGGAGCACCUCAAUUUAAGUAUGUGCUGGAUAGGGGCAUAGAUAUUUCAGCAGUACAACGCUCCAUCAGAGAAUAUUGAAUGGGCAUUAUGAAGAUCAAGUCAGUCAAGGCCUCCAUCGGAGAAAAUUGAAUGGACACUAUAAAGAUCAAGUCAGUCGAGGCUUUCUUCACUGCCUUCAUAUUUGACUUUCGGGUAACUGAUUGCUCUCCCUGAUUGUAUAGUGCAAUUUAUAUUAUCGAUUCUUUUGUGUAAAACUUUUUUAGAUUGAUUGCAAAUUGAUAUAAGACAUUCAUGGUCACUGUGUUUUUUGUUCUUCUAAUACUAUGUGUCUAAUUUUGUGUUUGCAUGUACGAUAUAU